AAGUGAAUUCUACCUAGUCCACCUUUAAUCCUGAGAUACAGCUUCCUCUACCCUCUCCUCUACCACAGAGGAAGGGGAAAAAGUCAGCAUCUCAUCAGUCCCCAGAUUGGAAGACCACA